AAACUAAGAAAAGGGACCACAGAUCCAAUUAAGCUCUUUUCUGUCAUAAAUACCACCUGGUAAUGCAAGGCAGUUGAAGGGUAUGGGAUCUUAGACUAACAGAAGGGACUGUAUCUGCAGUUAAACACAUUAAAAGUCCCAGGUACCCUCUGCUGUAUGCUAAGGGAGUUAGAGGGCAUAGGAUCCCAGACAAACAGAAGGCACUGUAGCAGCAACUGUCCCAUAACAUUAACAGUCCCACAUACCCCAUGUGUAAUGCAAAGGGAGUUGGAAGGCAGGGGAUCCUAGACUAACAAAAGGGACUGUGGCUGCAAUUAAGCCCAUGAACAGUCCCAAGUACCCACUGUGUAAUGCAAAGAGAGUUGGAUGCCAUGGGACCCUAGAAACAAAGGAACUGUAGCUGCAAUUGAGCACUUUAACAGUCCCAAGAACCACCUGUGUAAUGCAAAGGGCAUUGGAGGGCAUGGGAUCCCAGACAAACAGAAGGGACCACAGCUGUCAUUAAGCACAUUAAGAGUCCCAGGUACCCUCCGCUUAUGCAAAGGGAGUUGCAAGGCAUGGGAUCCUAAACUAACAGAAGGAACUGUGGCUGCUAUUAAGCCCAUUAACAGUCCCAAAUAACCUAUGUGGAAUGCAAGAG